rnacentral:pre_miRNA from 1 species
AGCUUUCUGAAUCCGUGCCGAGAUUUCGUCAUACACCAAAUCUUCAGUACUGAUGGGACUCUCAAGAUAGAUGAAGUG